CCUACGGGUGGCAGCAGUGAGGAAUAUUGGUCAAUGGCCGUAAGGCUGAACCAGCCAAGUCGCGUGAAGGAAGAAGGAUCUAUGGUUUGUAAACUUCUUUUAUAGGGGAAUAAAGGUAUCCACGUGUGGAUAUUUGCAUGUACCCUAUGAAUAAGCAUCGGCUAACGCCGUGCCAGCAGCCGCGGUAAUACGGAGGAUGCGAGCGUUAUCCGGAUUUAUUGGGUUUAAAGGGUGCGUAGGUUGUUUUUUAAGUCAGCGGUGAAAGUUUGUGGCUCAACCAUAAAAUUGCCGUUGAAACUGGAAGACUUGAGUGUGUUUGAGGUAGGCGGAAUGCGUGGUGUAGCGGUGAAAUGCAUAGAUAUCACGCAGAACUCCGAUUGCGAAGGCAGCUUAAUAAGCCAUAACUGACACUGAAGCACGAAAGCGUGGGGAUCGAACAGGAUUAGAUACCCCAGUAGUC
rnacentral:rRNA from 1 species